rnacentral:rRNA from 1 species
UUGAAAUCUGGCCUCGGCCCGAGUUGUAAUUUGCAGAGGAUGCUUCUGGCGCGGUGCCUUCCGAGUUCCCUGGAACGGGACGCCACAGAGGGUGAGAGCCCCGUAUGGUCGGACACCAAGCCUGUGUGAAGCUCCUUCGACGAGUCGAGUAGUUUGGGAAUGCUGCUCUAAAUGGGAGGUAAAUCUCUUCUAAAGCUAAAUACCGGCCAGAGACCGAUAGCGCACAAGUAGAGUGAUCGAAAGAUGAAAAGCACCUUGAAAAGGGGGUUAAAUAGUACGUGAAAUUGUUGAAAGGGAAGCACUUGUGACCAGACUUGGGCCGGGCGGCUCAUCAGGGGUUCUCCCCUGUGCACUCCGCCCGGCACAGGCCAGCAUCGGUUCUCGUGGGGGGAUAAGACCGUCAGGAACGUAGCACCCUCCGGGGUGUGUUAUAGCCUGGCGGACGAUACCCCCGUGGGGACCGAGGUUCGCGCUCCGCAAGGAUGCUGGCGUAAUGGUCACCAGUGACCCGUCUUGAAACACGGACCAAGGAGUCGUCCAUUAGAGCGAGCGUUUGGGUGUAAAACCCGCACGCGUAAUGAAAGUGAACGCAGGUGAGAGCUUCGGCGCAUCAUCGACCGAUCCUGAUGUUCUCGGAAGGAUUUGAGUAAGAGUUUUAACGGACGGACCCGAAAGACAGUGAACUAUGCUUGUAUAGGGUGAAGCCAGAGGAAACUCUGGUGGAGGCUCGCAGCGGUUCUGACGUGCAAAUCGAUCGUCAAAUAUGAGCAUGGGGGCGAAAGACUAAUCGAACUGUCUAGUAGCUGGUUACCGCCGAAGUUUCCCUCAGGAUAGCAGUGUUGAUCUUCAGUUUUAUGAGGUAAAGCGAAUGAUUAGGGACUCGGGGGCGCUAUAUAGCCUUCAUCCAUUCUCAAACUUUAAAUAUGUAAGAAGCCCUUGUUACUUAGUUGAACGUGGGCAUUCGAAUGUACCAACACUAGUGGGCCAUUUUUGGUAAGCAGAACUGGCGAUGCGGGAUGAACCGAACGCGGGGUUAAGGCGCCAGAGUGUACGCUCAUCAGACACCACAAAAGGCGUU